rnacentral:rRNA from 1 species
AAGGGUCCGUAGGCGGCUUUAUAAGUCAGUGGUGAAAUCUCCCCGCUCAACGGGGAAACGGCCAUUGAUACUGUAAGGCUUGAAUUAUUAGGAAGUAACUAGAAUAUGUAGUGUAGCGGUGAAAUGCUUAGAGAUUACAUGGAAUACCAAUUGCGAAGGCAGGUUACUACUAAUGGAUUGACGCUGAUGGACGAAAGCGUGGGUAGCGAACAGGAUUAGAUACCCUGGUAGUCCACGCCGUAAACGAUGGAUACUAGCUGUUGGGAGCAAUCUCAGUGGCUAAGCGAAAGUGAUAAGUAUCCCACCUGGGGAGUACGUUCGCAAGAAUGAAACUCAAAGGAAUUGACGGGGGCCCGCACAAGCGGUGGAGCAUGUGGUUUAAUUCGAUGAUACGCGGGGAACCUUACCAAGGCUUAAAUGUAGAUUGACCGGUUUGGAAACAGACUUUUCGCAAGACAAUUUACAAGGUGCUGCAUGGUUGUCGUCAGCUCGUGCCGUGAGGUGUCAGGUUAAGUCCUAUAACGAGCGCAACCCCUGUUGUUAGUUGCCAGCGAGUCAUGUCGGGAACUCUAGCAAGACUGCCAGUGCAAACUGUGAGGAAGGUGGGGAUGACGUCAAAUCAUCACGGCCCUUACGCCUUGGGCUACACACGUGCUACAAUGGCCGGUACAGAGAGCAGCCACUACGGUGAGUAGGAGCGAAUCUAUAAAACCGGUUCACAGUUCGGAUCGGAGUCUGCAACUCGACUCC